rfam:Papilio machaon contig38034, whole genome shotgun sequence.
AUACUAACCUUGCGUAGGGUGUACCGUGAUCACGAAGGCGGUUGCCCCGGGCUGGCUCCAGCCAUUGCACUGCGGUUGGAUUCAGCUAGUCUGUGACUAUCUCAUAUCGAGGUACGUCGUACGCGUAAUUUUUGGUAGUUGGACUUGCGUUCUGCGCGGUCCUU